rnacentral:miRNA from 1 species
CUCAUCUGCAAAGAAGUAAGUG